UUCACAACUGGUGAAACACUAUCUCCUUAAUACUGUCUGCGUGAUAGUGAGUUCUCUUGAUGAUUAUGGAGCUUAAAGAUUGAGUGAAUAUUGUCCUGCUGGGGUUUGGACUGACAUUUUUGUCAUUUUUCUGGGGAAUUUCUUCCCUUUGGAUUGAGAAACCUUACUUAAUGCUUGUACUAUCAUUGUAUCUUGAAAGAAAAGAAAUGCCUUUUGAACUCAGGGACUGAUAGGCCGAAGGGACUGUAGCCUUGUCUCAGAUGAGACUUUGAAUUUUUUAUAUUUGGAAUGAGUUAAGAAUUUUGGAAACUUUUGAACAUGCAUGACUGUGUUUUGCUGUGUGAGAAGGACAUGAGGUUCUGGGGUAUCUGGGUCAAAUAAUAUGGAUUGACUGUGUGUCCAUAUAAAACUCAUAUGGAAUUGUAAUCCUUAAUUUUGGGGCCUGGUGGUAGGCGAUUUAAUCUUGAAUGGGAGGGGGUUCGGGGUGGUAGGAAAAGGAGGGGUAGGGUGGGGAGGAGUAGGUUGUCAGUAGGGUGGUAGGAGGAUGGGGGGUAGUAGGAAGGGGGAGUAGCCUUCUGCAGAGGCAGAGGCUCAUGGAAAACCUCUACUAGGGCAGUGCACCUGUGGCUUUGCAGGCUUUAGCCCCAUGGCUGCUCUCAUGGGCUGGGCUGGUGUUGAGUGCCUGUAGCUUUUCCAUACUGAGGGUGUGAGCUGUUGGUGGGCCUAUGAAUCCGGGAUCUGGAGGAUGGUGGCCUCCUUUUUGGGGGCUCCAAGCCCAUAUUUUCCUUCUGCACUGCCAUAGUGGAAGUUUCUCAAGAGGCUUGGCCUCUGCAGGAGGCUUCUGCCUGGAAACAGUGGGCGGUGGUGUGGGUGCAGGAUCUUCUUGAUGCUGAUCUCCUGAUAGUGAGACCUCAUGUGAUCUGGUUGUCUAACAGGGUGUGGUACCUCUUUCCUCUCUCUGUCUUGCUCCUACCCCUGCCAUAUGAAACAUCUCAUUGCCACUUGGCCUUCUGGUAUGAUUAGGAAGGGCCUGGUCAGUGUGGGCCUGGUCAGUGAACUAGUCAGUUGGGACUUGGUCAGUGAGGCCUAUUUACUGGGGGAAUGGUCAGCCAGGGUCUGCUUAGAGAGGGUCUCAUUAGAGGGAUCGAGUAGUGCAGGUCUUGGUGAGUGGGGACCUAGUGGCAGACAAAUGUUUGGUGUCUGGUCAGUGCAAACCUGGGCUGCAGGGCUUGGUGAGUGGAGACCUGGUCAGCUGUGGCUUAGUGGUAGCCUUGUCAGAAUGGGCUGGGUCACUGGUGACCCGGUCAAGGGGUGCUAUUCAGUGGAGGCCUGGUCACAUGGCACCUAGUCAGCAGGGCAUGUCCUCAUCAGUGAGACCCUUGUCAGUGGGACCCUGGUCAUGGCAGCCUGGUCAGGUCAGUGGAACCUAAUCAGUGGGGGCCUGGUCAGAGAGGACUUGAUCAGUGGUGGCUUUUGUAGCACUGGUCUAUGGGGUGACCUGGUCAACGGGGGUCUGAGCGGUACAUGCCUGUUCAGUGGUGCCUAGUCACUAGGUUCCUGGUCGGGGCAUCUGGUCACCGCAGGCCUGGUUAGUAGGGACCUGGUCACUGGCAGCCUGUUCCCUGGAGACCUGGUCAGUGGGGCUUCAUCUGUGGGGCCAGGCAAUGGGGUCAUGAUUGGUGGAAUGUGGUCAGGGAGGCCUUGUCAGUGAGGCCCUGGUCAGUGAGGCCUUGUCAGUGAGGUCCUUGUCAGUGGGGUCCUGGACACUGUGGGCCUGGCAGCGGGAAUCUAGUUAGUGGGGCCUGGUGAUGGGGGCCUAAUCAGUGAGAGUGUGGUCAGGGAGGACCUGAUGUGCGGGAUCUGGUCAGCAGGGACCUGGUCAGUGGGGCUGCUGAGCACUGCUGGGAGGUGUCAGGGGAAAUGCAUGUUAUCAGGGGCCCUAUGGACAGCUGGGAUGGCCCAGUGGUGUCCAAUGGCCCAGUCAAAAGUGGACAAAGCAGGUGUUUGGAUGGACCUGGGAGAUCUUGCUCAGAGAUUCUGAAAGAACAAAGCAAAAAUAUCAGAUCGGCUGCACAGAAAAAUGGCUCAAAGUGCUUAAUGACCAGAAGAAAUCUGGGAGUAGCAAGAAGGUAAUGUGGAGAGGGGAGGACCUCCAUGACUGGUGUCUGCAGAGCCAGGGGUACAGGGACCCAGUGCAGUGACCUGGCACCACCUGCCUCUCAGAGGGUGGGUAGCACACUGUCCUUACCUGGGGGACAGCAGGCCUGGUCACCGGCUUUUCUCCCUGUCCCUGCAAGCAUCACAUUGCUGGAAGAGAAUCUCAUGCCAGAGCUUGGACCAUCCCUAGCUUGGGGGUUAGGGGUUGUCUCUUGGUGACCUAAAUGAAAAAAUAGGUCCAGAUCAGAGUUCGUGAUGCAUAGCACUCACCCACUCUUUGAAUCAUGGGAGGGGAGGCCUAGUCCUAGGUAAACCUAAACUCUUUGAGGAACCACAGAGCCCAAGGCUGGAAACCUCCAGAAUCCUCCAGCCCCUGAUCCCCCCCCCCCCCGGGGACCUCUGUGGCCUGUCUCACCAGAGCACUCUUCUGUCUGUAGAGGUCUCAGGUGCUCUACAAGGGAGUCCCAUUUCAGGUGUGGGGCUGGGUAUGGUCACUCCUGCUGGAUGUCUAGAAGGUGAAAACCAAGGACCUAGGAAAAUACCAGAUACAGCCUUUCCACCGUCAUCCAGAGCAGGACAAACACGCCAGGUGGUGUCAGGAGCCCAGGUCUCCAGCUGGAGGGAAUGUCAACCCUGCAGUGGGAGCCCAUCAUGCAUCCUAGGCACAGAUGCUAACGUAGGCACCGCAGGUAAGCUGGGUUUGGUACCCCUUCCUGGCUUCAGAAAGAAGCCAAACAAGGAGCUUUCUGCAGAAUGAAACCUCUUUUCCAUCCAGAAGCACUGCUGACUGUUUGGUGGUUGCUGUUAGGGCAGUGAGCCUUUUGUCCAUUCUGAGAUUAGGCUGGUUUCUCCUCUUGGCCCUGGCCUACAGACCAUAAAGGAAAACAGCAAGAGGUCCCCAGCAAACAUCUACAGAUGGCCCUGGACAUCAGCCACAUUCAGAGAAACGUGUCAUGUUCUGGGAGGGCUAAGGCAUCGAGUAAGGCCUAUGGGGCUGGAGGAUCACAGGGCAGGUGGGGCAAUCCAGAGCUGUGGGGGCUUCCAUGGGAAUUGGGAGGUCCCAAGGCAGAGGUAGGGGUUCCACAGGAGGAGUCACAGAGCCACCAAGGGCUCUCCUGGCCCAGGGAGCAGUCAACACCAUGGACUGAACACCCACUGGGCUAAGCCCUGGGCCAGGCUGGGGCAUGUGGGGCCAGGAGGCAGCUCAGAGUGGGAGACAGAGAGACAAGUGUGCUCAGAGGGCACCCAUAUCUGCAUAUAACGUGGUCCUGAAUUUCUGGCUGGGAAGUGCUUCCAGGGUUUCAUAUGUGUUAUGGAGAUGCUUCCUCUCUCCAACCUCACCGUGCAGGAAUCCCAGUGAAUAUAUUGCCACCAUCUUGGAGCUCAGUGCCCUCAUAGUGUAACAGCACCAGCAGAUCUGCCUGUGCACAGACUUCCUGUACUACCUCACUCCUGAGGGGAGAUGCUUCUGCAGGGCCUGCGACCUGGUGCACAACUUUAGACACCAUCAUCCUGGAGCGGCACUGCACCCUCACUAGCCAGGGUGUUGAUGACUUCCUCAAUGCCAAGGCCACGUUCAAGAUUUUCGACUUCAGUGAUGCGUUUGUGCUGAGCAAGGUGGGCUUCUCCGGGAUCUUAAUUCAGGAGGUAGAAUGCAGCUUGAGAUCUAGUGUCUGAUCAAAGAACUUGAACUUGACCUGGAGGGCUCUGGGGAGCCAUGGAAGGUGCUGGAUAAAGGAAGGGACAGUCAUAUAUAUUUUAGAGAUGACUGUGGAAGGCUGCCUGGAAGGAGUGAACAAGAGCCAGGAGACCAGGGAGGGAGUUUGUGGGGCAGGUCUGGAGAUGGCAAGGGAGGGAUCCUGCUUGGAUGAAAGGUCUUCAGGGACUGUCUCAGGUUACACUCAGGUGCCCUCAGAGCUACUGUGUUCAGGGUUCUUGUCUCCAGGAUGAAAAUAAGGAGGAGUUGUCAGACAAGGACAUAUACAUGGAGGCUGGCAUCUUCAUGAGUGCCAAUCGUGGUCCUGGUGUGGACUACUGUGGGAGCAGGGGUCUCUCCAUCCAGGGACAUGGUGGAUGGACCCUACAUCACUCCAUUCUGCCCUUCCUUUCCCUCCCAUUCUCCUGAGGGACUCAAUGCAUGGGCACUGUCCAACCUCUGGUGCUGAAGCAGCCAAGAGACCCAAGCCUGCCUUGCUGCCACUUAGGAUAUGACAGCACAGCCAGUGGCCUCUACUGGAUCCUGGUACCCCUCAGAAGACACCCAGACACUGGGAGUGCUGCCACCUCGUGGUGCAAGAGUUCUGAGGGACGGCAAUUCUGAAGACAUUGAAUGCCGUUUUGCACACCCUGGUCAGAAUGAAACAUUCCUUGGGAACUCGGGCCGUGAGAAGCAUCCUUCCUGAUCACCUGACUGUAGAAACAUCCUUAUCGCACCCUCCCGGGCAAAGGCCCAACAGCCUGACUGCAGGAACAUCCUUGCCAUAUCCUGCCGGGCAGCAAGCUCUACCGCCCACACCCCUCCUUCCCAGUCCCAUGAUCACCCCAGCCUGUGAGAGGCAGUUGGUGCUGGCAGUAAGCUGGUUUCCUCCUCUGCAGGGUUUUGCUAGUAAUAAAGGUGUUGCUGUUGAAGCCGU
rnacentral:lncRNA from 1 species